AGUCGAACGGUAACAGGAAGCAGCUUGCUUUCGCUGACGAGUGGCGGACGGGUGAGUAAUGUCUGGGAAACUGCCUGAUGGAGGGGGAUAACUACUGGAAACGGUAGCUAAUACCGCAUAACGUCGCAAGCCAAAGAGGGGGACCUUCGGGCCUCUUGCCAUCAGAUGUGCCCAGAUGGGAUUAGCUAGUAGGUGGGGUAACGGCUCACCUAGGCGACGAUCCCUAGCUGGUCUGAGAGGAUGACCAGCCACACUGGAACUUAGACACGGUCCAGACUCCUACGGGAGGCAGCAGUGGGGAAUAUUGCACAAUGGGCGCAAGCUGCAUGCAGCCAUGCCGCGUGUAUGAAGAAGGCCUUCGGGUUGUAAAGUACUUUCAGCGGGGAGGAAGGCGAUGUGGUUAAUAACCGCGUCGAUUGACGUUACCCGCAGAAGAAGCACCGGAUAACUCCGUGCCAGCAGCCGCGGUAAUACGGAGGGUGCAAGCGUUAAUCGGAAUUACUGGGCGUAAAGCGCACGCAGGCGGUCUGUCAAGUCGGAUGUGAAAUCCCCGAGCUCAACCUGGGAACUGCAUCC
rnacentral:rRNA from 1 species